UUUCCUACGGGGGGCAGCAGUGAGGAAUAUUGGUCAAUGGGCGCGAGCCUGAACCAGCCAAGUCGCGUGAGGGAAGACGGUCCUAUGGAUUGUAAACCUCUUUUGUCGGGGAGCAAAAGACGCCACGUGUGGCGUUCCGAGAGUACCCGAAGAAAAAGCAUCGGCUAACUCCGUGCCAGCAGCCGCGGUAAUACGGAGGAUGCGAGCGUUAUCCGGAUUUAUUGGGUUUAAAGGGUGCGCAGGCGGAGGUGCAAGUCAGCGGUCAAAUUGCGGGGCUCAACCCCGUACUGCCGUUGAAACUGCAU
rnacentral:rRNA from 1 species